GACGAAGGGGGCUAGCGUUGUUCGGAAUUACUGGGCGUAAAGCGAGUGUAGGUGGUUGUCCAAGUUGGAUGUGAAAGCCUUGAGCUCAACUCAAGAAAUGCAUUCAGGACUGGGCGGCUAGAGGACCGGAGAGGAUAGUGGAAUUCCCAGUGUAGUGGUGAAAUACGUAGAGAUUGGGAAGAACACCAGUGGCGAAGGCGGCUCACUGGCCCGUAACUGACGCUGAGGUGCGAAAGCGUGGGGAGCAAACAGG
rnacentral:rRNA from 1 species